AUUAAAACUUGGGGAACAUUCCAUACAAUUAGAACGAUAUAGAGAAGAUUAACAUGGCCACUGCGCAAGGAUGAGAUGCACAAAUCGAGAAAUGGUAUCAGAGCCA